rnacentral:lncRNA from 1 species
CAGCCUUGGGAGAGGGGUAAUCAGCUGGUCAGCUUGGCGCUGUUAUGGGAGUCAAGCCUGACUUGCAUAGUCCCACUAUGCCAGGUCUGCCCACUCAGCCCAAAAACCAUCAGAAAAGGUCAUGGUGAGAGGAAACUUUAAUCAGUAUGUCCAUAUUGGGAAGGCCAAAUGAAAUCCGACAUCUCACUUUGGGUUGUUAACAGGAGCUUUAGAUUUAACUAGAGGAAGAAUUGGGGUGGGAUAUGAGGGAGGUAUGCAUAGGUGAGCUGUCUUGGAUAUACUGUGAUUGAGCAUUCUUUUGGUCCUGAUUCUGUGAGUUGACUUUGGAGAAGUCUUUAUUGCUUGAUUGGGCUUCUCAGGAUACAGGGUGUUUACCUAUUAAACAUAUGAUCCUGGAAGGGGAUAAUCCAGUUUCUGUGAGAUGAUUGCUCCUGCUUAGGGAGCUGUUCCUGGAAGGUGUAGGAUUAAGACUGGAGACUUCUAGAUGCCACUCCAGGGAUCUGAAACAAGAUACUGCAAAUCUCUGCAAAUCUGACCUCAGUCUUGGAGGGGGACAAGACAAGUUAGGUAAAUUUUGGGCUAAUAAGCCUUUUAUUACUAAUAUUUAGAUGAACACUCCUAAAAUGAUUAAUAUGCUUUUAUGCAGAGCUGAGCAGGACACACAUUUAAUUUAAUAAAGAAGAUAGAUACCAAAUGAAGCCAGAGAUGUGAAGCUUUACCCUGCUGUCAGUUAUCCAUAGAGUAUCUGCAAGCCUAGGUCAAGAGCCAAGGCUUUAGCAAAAGCAGUCUUUUUAAGUUCUAUUAUAUCACAUCUCUUCUAUGACAUAACAUCCUGCUGAAACAUCUUUGCUCUGUGGUAGGGAUACACUGCUGCAGCUGUUAAGAGAACAUAUCAUUAUGAAGAGGGAGAGAACAUAAAUCAUGCAAGUAAUAAGUUAAAGGCCCUGGGAAUUUGCCAUUUUGAUGGCUCCCCAACAAUUUUACCCCUUGUGUUAUUUAGAGGUGGAGAGUUAUGGUGAGGGCAUCCUGCUUAAUAAUAGACCUGGUUUCUGAGGUCCAGGGACUGAGUGAAUGAGUGAAAGGAUGGAGAAAGGCACAUAUCAAGCUAUGGGUUAAGGUGAGAAAGUGGGGAAAAGCACGUGCCAUGCUUUUAAUAGCUAAAAAGCUAUAAAUUAAAGUCCCUCAAGUGCAUUUUCCCCUUUCUGCCCCUGACUGGCUCAUUUGGAGGAAGAAAUCUAAGCAAAAUGUUGAAGGUGUGGCUUGGCUUCUCUUACUGCUUGUAGUAAAAUGUGAAAAGAGAGAGAUGAAUUAAAAUUAGGAUUUAUUAUCAGAAGGGAACCAGAAGUUUAAAGAUUUGGAACUGGGUGUAGUAGCACAUGCCUAUAAUCCCCAGUGAUUUCAGAGGUGGAGGCAGGGGGACUGGAAGUUCAAUUAGUGAGAUCCUGUCUCAAAAAAAAAAAAAAAGCUGUGGACAUAGCAGCUCAGGAGUAAAAUGCCCCGAAGUUCAAUCCCUGUACUGCAAAAUAAAUAAAAAUAAAUUUUAAAAUUGGAAAAUUCUCAGCCUGACUGUAUUAUAAAGAAUAAAAAUACGUGUUCAAGAGAAUAGCCAAAUGAACGUUUGAUAAGGAGAUUAAUAGGGACAAAUGGAACUCAUCAAGAGGAGGGAAGAAUAACCCUGAAGGCAUUUUGGAGAUCUUUGGGGUUCCCCUGCCCUUCACAGGCCAGAGUGCCAGAAUGGUUUCAAGGCACUACCUCCUACAGCCUCCUGGGCCACCCCAGCUGUGGUUCCAGUGGGCCCAGGAGUAACUUAGGUCACCCCUCUGGAAGGUAUAGAUGGUACAGUGUGGUGACAUCUGCACAGUGCUAUCUCCACAGGUGCAGAAAGUGAGCAAGCUUUUAGGGUGUGGCUACUUCCAUUUCAGUUUUAAGGAAUAGCCUUAAGAUCCAGGCAGAGAAUGCCCCAGGCUGAGACACUACAGGAGCCCUUAGUAUAGCAGUGCUCAGCAGCGACAGGGCCACCCCCAAGGUCCCAGAAUGAUAGAGCCACCAAAGAGCAAUUCCAGCCUGAGAGAACUGCAGGCCCGACUUCAACCUAUGAAAACUGCGGAGGGAAAUGCACCCAACACAGCCAGAGAGGCCAGGCUUCUGAGAGCCGUGGGGGCCCAAUCCUUACUCAGUCAUGUCUGGAAGGUGUGACAUAGUCAAAGGUUAUUCUUGAGCCUUAAGAUUUCAAGUUUUUGUCCUGUUGAAUUUUUGAUUAUGUGGGAUCUAUUAUCCUUCCUUCCUUCCUUCUUUCCUAUUUCUCCAUUUUGGAAUGAAAAUAUCUAUUGUACACCUGUCUUGCUGUUGUAUUUUAGAAGCAUAUAACUUAAUUGAUUUCAUAGGCUCAUAGUUGGAAAGCAGUAGGCUCAGGAUGAAUCUGUACCUUUAAUUUUACCCAUAUCUAGAAUGAGUAGAAAUUAAGUUUGACCAGCAGUCAAACCAGNGAGGAAGAAAUCUAAGCAAAAUGUUGAAGGUGUGGCUUGGCUUCUCU